AUACCAGUCGGGCAAUUUAGCAACUCCAAUUAGCCUCAGCAUGUUUUUGGACUGUGGGGGAAACCGGAGUACCCGGAGGAAACCCCACGACGACAUGGGGAGAACAUGCAAACUCCACACACAUGUGACCCAGGCGGAGACUUGAACCCAGGUCCCAGAGGUGUGAGGCAACAGUGCUAACCACUGCACCACCAUGCCACCUUGAAUGAAUUAACAAAUAAAACACUUUCAAAUCACAUGAGCCUAUAUUUUAUUCACAACAGAACAUAGAUGAUAUUACAAAUGUUCAAAGGCCGAAGACCUGUAUUGGAUGCCCGUGGUCUUCGGGCCCUCAGACGACUCUGCGUCACUCAUCGGCAUGAUUGUGUCAAUGACAUUACUAAAUGGGCCCAGGAAUACUUCCAGAAAGCACAGUCGGUAAACACAAUUCGCCGUGCCAUCUGCAGAUGCCAGCUAAAGCUCUAUCAUGCAAAAAGGAAGCCAUAUCUGAACAUGGUCCAGAAGCGCCGUCGUGUCCUGUGGGCCAAGACUCAUUUGAAAUGGACUGUUUCAAAGUGGGAAAGUGUUCUGUGGUCAGAGUCCAAAUGUGACAUUCUUGUUGGUAAUGAAGGGCGACGUGUCCUCCGGGAUAAAGAGGAGGGAGACCUUCCAGCGUGUUAUCAGCGUUCAGUUCAAAAGCCAGCAUCUCUGAUGGUAUGGGGGUGCAUAAGUGCAUACGGUAUGGGCAGCUUGCAUAUUUUGGAAGGAACUAUGAAUGCUGAAAGGUAUAUAAAGGUUUUAGAGCAACACAUGCUUCCCUCCAGAGGACGUCUGUUUCAGGGAAGGCCUUGUGUAUUUCAGCAGGACAAUGCAAAACCACAUACUGCAGCUAUUACAACCACAUGGCUUCGUCGGAGAAGAGCCUGGGUGCUGAAUUGGCCUGUCUGCAGUCCAGAUCUUUCACCUAUAGAGAACAUACAGUAAUUACCUGUGACACCCAUGGUGCACUGUGAGCAGAUAUACAGGCCAACAGAGCAUGCAGAUAAUUAUCUUUGACACCCAUGGUGCACUGUGAGCAGGUAUACAGGCCAACAGAGCAUGCAGAUAAUUAUCUGCGACACCCAUUGUACACUGUGAGCAGGUAUACAGGCCAACAGAGCAUGCAGAUAAUUAUCUGUGACACCCAUGGUGCACUGUGAGCAGGUAUACAGGCCAACAGAGCAUGCAGAUAAUUAUCUGCGACACCCAUUGUACACUGUGAACAGGUAUACAGGCCAACAGAGCAUGCAGAUAAUUAUCUGUGACACCCAUGGUGCACUGUGAGCAGGUAUACAGGCCAACAGAGCAUGCAGAUAAUUAUCUGUGACACCCAUUGUACACUGUGAGCAGGUAUACAGGCCAACAGAGCAUGCAGAUAAUUAUCUGUGACACCCAUGGUGCACUGUGAGCAGGUAUACAGGCCCACAGAGCAUGCAGAUAAUUAUCUUUGACACCCAUGGUGCACUGUGAGCAGGUAUACAGGCCCACAGAGCAUGCAGAUAAUUACCUGUGACACCCAUUGUGCACUGUGAGCAGGUAUACAGGCCCACAGAGCAUGCAGAAAAUUAUCUGUGACACCCCUUGUACACUGUGAGCAGGUAUACAGGCCCACAGAGCAUGCAGAUAAUUAUCUGUGACACCCAUUGUACAUUGUGAGCAGGUAUACAGGCCCAUAGAGCAUGCAGAUAAUUAUCUGUGACACCCACGGUGCACUGUGAGCAGGUAUACAGGCCCACAGAGCAUGCAGAUAAUUAUCUUUGACACCCAUGGUGCACUGUGAGCAGGUAUACAGGCCCACAGAGCAUGCAGAUAAUUAUCUUUGACACCCAUGGUGCACUGUGAGCAGGUAUACAGGCCCACAGAGCAUGCAGAUAAUUAUCUUUGACACCCAUGGUGCACUGUGAGCAGGUAUACAGGCCCACAGAGCAUGCAGAUAAUUAUCUUUGACACCCAUGGUGCACUGUGAGCAGGUAUACAGGCCCACAGAGCAUGCAGAUAAUUACCUGUGACACCCAUUGUGCACUGUGAGCAGGUAUACAGGCCCACAGAGCAUGCAGAAAAUUAUCUGUGACACCCCUUGUACACUGUGAGCAGGUAUACAGGCCCACAGAGCAUGCAGAUCAUUAUCUGUGACACCCAUGGUGCACUGUGAGCAGGUAUCAGUACUGACUACUUUUUAUAUUGAGUCACAUGUUUUAUGUGAAUUACUUUGUACUGAACUGAAGGCCAGUAUUUGUCACUGUGAAUAUGUUGUUGCAGACGUCCAUCCAGAAAUCAGAGCUGGGGGAAAAGAUAAGGUCCUUAUUCCAGUUAAUUUUUGGUAGAAAUAUCAAUGUGUCUGUCGCAGAUGGAGGAUUAUAUAUUCUAGAGGUUUCUUUUUAUUUUUAAGUUGCAGAAUGUUGUCUCAUCUGAGGAGGAUUCAGUGUAUUAUGUGUGAGGUCCAUUUUGGUUCUGAUGCUAGAUUCAGUUAGUAAAUAUUAGAAAAAUUGCAUAUUCUCAACUCGCAUUUAUGGAUUAAGUCUUUGAAUGUCAUGAAAUGACUGUUACUGAAAAGGAGGUGGAGAUGUGUAAUCCCUUUCUGUCCCCGUGAGUGAUAGUGAAUGGUGAUAUUGUGAAGUAGGAAGUCCAGAUUAUUCCAGAUUGGCGUGUAUUUGCAGGGUCUGAGAGUACAGUUAGUGAUUUUAAUGGCUUUCCACUGGGCUGUCAGUGCUGUGGAAAUGGCAGCACUGUGUUGUUAAAGCAGUUUUGUUUUGCUAAGAAGUAAUUAAGAAAAAUGAGCUUGUAAUCCACCUUGAGAUUUACUUUUCUGUAAUGUGGAAUGUUUGAUUUUGUGUUUUUGUUUUUCCAGCAAAAAUGUGACAUUAAUGAGUUUGAAAGAAUUUUUCUGAAAUUAUUCUGGACGAGUAAUUUUAUUUUUAUUGAUUCAAGUGGGAGACUCAUCUAUUGUUUUGAAUAAGGGGGUGUAGUUGAGGGUAACCAAGUCAGACAGCCUGUAGGAGAUGUAGAUACCCAAGUACCGGAUAUUUCCAGUGUGAAAUGGACCAUCCUGAUCGGCUGAAUCCCAGGCAUCUUCAGACAGUGAGAAUAUUAUCGGGUUUUUUCCAGUUUAUUGUGUAGUUUGAUAGAUUUGAAAAGGUAUUAAUGAAAUUUAAAUUUCAUAUAUUGAGGGUUUCAUAAAAACAGCAAGAUAUCAUCUGCAUAGAGACUAAUUUUGUGUUGUUAUUAGUAUGAAUUCCAUUUAUUUCACUGUUCUGUCGUAUUGCUGCCACAAUUGUUUCUAUGAAGAUGGCAAACAGUGAAGGAGAGAGUGGGCAUGCAGGCCGUCUUCCCCGUCGGAGUGUGAAUGCAGGCUGUCAGGCUGUAGAGUCACAGAAGAAGGCUGUUCUUCCCUGGCUUCAGCUCUGAGGUCAAACCCCUCACACCUGAGAGAGCUGGACCUGAGCUACAAUCACCCAGGAGACUCAAGAGUGAAGCUGCUCUCUGCUGUACUGGAGGAUCCCAGCUGUAAACUGGAGAAGCUGAAUGUGGAUUACGGUGGAGAGUGCAGGACCAGACCAGGCUUACAGAAAUACUCCUGCCAGCUGACGCUGGACCCCAACACAGCACACAGACUCCUGUCUCUGUCAGGGGGGAACAGGAAG